UACGUAGGUGACAAGCGUUGUCCGGAUUUACUGGGCGUAAAGAGCGCGCAGGCGGUCGUUCAAGUCGAGUGUGAAAGCCCCCGGCUCAACUGGGGAGGGUCACUCGAUACUGAUCGACUCGAAGGCAGGAGAGGGAAGUGGAAUUCCCGGUGUAGUGGUGGAAUGCGUAGAUAUCGGGAGGAACACCAGUGGCGAAGGCGGUUGCCUGGAGCUUUGCUGACGCUGAUGCGCGAAAGCGUGGGGAGCGAUCCGG
rnacentral:rRNA from 1 species